AAUUUAUAUAAAAAAAAAAACUAAUCUUUUUGAGGUUCAUGGCUGCCCUCUCAAUAAUACCUCUCCAAGAAUCGAAAGUAUAAUGAAUCUUACCACUAUACUCAAUUAUAUAAAGUUUUAUGAUCUUAUAUUUGGAUGAGGAAAUUUAAAUUUAAUGAAUAUAUUUUUAUAAAUUAAUUAGAGUUAUAAAUUUAGUUUAGUUAUAUAAAUAUGAAGAAAA
rnacentral:misc_RNA from 1 species